GGGGGUAUAGCUCAGCUGGGAGAGCAGCAGACUGAAGUGCGUAUGGCGCAUAUUUUCACGAAUUCUGAAGGUCCCGCGUUCGAUCCGCGGUACCCCCA